rnacentral:rRNA from 1 species
CUACGAAGGGGGCUAGCGUUGCUCGGAAUCACUGGGCGUAAAGGGUGCGUAGGCGGGUCUUUAAGUCAGAGGUGAAAUCCUGGAGCUCAACUCCAGAACUGCCUUUGAUACUGAGGAUCUUGAGUACGGGAGAGGUGAGUGGAACUGCGAGUGUAGAGGUGAAAUUCGUAGAUAUUCGCAAGAACACCAGUGGCGAAGGCGGCUCACUGGCCCGUUACUGACGCUGAGGCACGAAAGCGUGGGGAGCAAACAGG